AUUGAACGCUGGCGGCAGGCCUAACACAUGCAAGUCGAACGAGUGGCGGACGGGUGAGUAAUGUCUGGGAAACUGCCCGAUGGAGGGGGAUAACUACUGGAAACGGUAGCUAAUACCGCAUACCAUCGGAUGUGCCCAGAUGGGAUUAGCUAGUAGGUGGGGUAAAGGCUCACCUAGGCGACGAUCCCUAGCUGGUCUGAGAGGAUGACCAGCCACACUGGAACGAAGACACGGUCGAGACGCCGACGGGAGGCAGCAGUGGGGAAUAGUGCACAAUGGGCGCAAGCAUGAUGCAGCCAUGCCGCGUGUAUGAAGAAGGCCUUCGUGUUGGAAAGUACUGUCAGCGGGGAGGCGUUACCCGCAGAAGAAGCACAGGCUAACUCCGUGCCAGCAGCCUCGGUAAUAC
rnacentral:rRNA from 1 species